rnacentral:rRNA from 1 species
ACACGUAGGUGGCGAGCGUUAUCCGGAAUUAUUGGGCGUAAAGGGCGCGCAGGCGGUUCUGAAAGUCUGACGUGAAAGCUCCUGGCUUAACUGGGAGAGGUCGUUGGAAACUAUGGGACUUGAGGCAAUGAGAGGGGUGCGGAAUUCCCGGUGUAGUGGUGGAAUGCGUAGAUAUCGGGAGGAACACCAGUGGCGAAAGCGGCAUCCUAGCAUUGACCUGACGCUGAAGUGCGAAAGCGUGGGGAGCGAACGGGAUUAGAUACCCCGGUAGUCCACGCUGUAAACGAUGAACACUAGGUGUGGGUGGAGUCAAAUCUACCUGUGCCGAAGCCAACGCGAUAAGUGUUCCGCCUGGGGAGUACGGCCGCAAGGCUAAA